AAGUGAGCCAUUGUGAGCCCUCUGGCAAACAAAAGGGGCCUCCUGCAGGUUGUAAGAUGAAAACCCUUCCAAAGACAGCCCUCAGACGAAGAAAAGGGACCUCCCAAUGGAAAGAUGAAAAUCCUUCCAAAGUGAGUCCUGGGACAAAGGAAAGGGACCUUCUACAGGAAAGAUUAAAAGCUCUCCAACGUGAGCCCUUGGGCAAGAAAAAGGGGCCUCCCACAGGUAAGAUGAAAACCCGUUUAAAGUGAGCCCUCGGACAAAGAAAAGGGGCUUUGCACAGGUAUGCUGAAAACCCUUCCAAAGUGAGCCCUCAGGCAAAGAAAAGGGGCCUCCCACACAUGAUGCAGACCCAUUCAAUGUCAGCCCUCGGGCAAAGAAAAGGGGCCUCCCACAGGUAUGAUGCAGACCCAUUCAAUGUCAGCCCUCGGGCAAAGAAAAGGGGCCUCCCACAGGUAUGAUGCAGACCCAUUCAAUGUCAGCCCUCAGGCAAAGAAAAGGGGUCUCCCGCAGGAAUGAUGCAGACGCAUUCAAUGUCAGCCCUCGGGCAAAGAAAAGGGGCCUCCCACAGGUAUGAUGCAG